UUUUGGAGUGUUGUUACGGGAGGAGAGCGGUUUUUUUUAUGCUUUUAUCGAGCCUACAAACUCCCCCUUAUCCGAAUGAAAUGCUGCACGCGCGAUAAGCAUUUUAGUAUCAAGAUCGCGUCCGCCAUUGUGACCGCCACUACUAUUUUUACGUUCAAAUUUAGUUUGAUUUUUUUACAAAAACAGUAGUCAUAGAAGGAUAGUAUAGUUGCACAGCGUACGCGUAACGCGUAUUAUUAUAUG